rnacentral:tRNA from 1 species
AGGGGCAUGGUGUCAAUGGUAGCACACGGGUCUCCAAAACCUUUGGUACGGGUUCGAAUCCUGUUGCCCCUGCCA